GGUGGCUUAGUGGUAGAGCGCUUGCCUUGCAAGCUUGACGCCCUGGGUUCAAUUCCUCAGCACCA
rnacentral:tRNA from 1 species